rnacentral:sRNA from 1 species
UUGGCCAGGAGGACUUGUGCGGCAUCGCGCACGGAGUGGAGGGAGGUUUGGUCGCAGGCGACGAAGGUAAUGCAGUUUCCAUUGUUGGUGGUGGCCUUUAUCUCGCCAAUGAGAGAGUUGGCAGCCUGUACGUUGCGGCCAGUGAAGUAGAUAUGAGCGGGGUUGUGCUUGAUCAAUUGCUUGAUAGCUUCUUUGCCGACACCAGAAGUGCCUGUGGAUUGAAGGUAAGCAUUGUGGUCAAAACGGAGUGGGAGUGUUGGUUGGUUGGCUUACCUCCAGUGAUCACUAUCACUUUCCCUGAAAGGUCGGGGAUGUCGUUGUCGGGAUUGUAGGUGAUACUCAUUGUGCGUUAUUCGUUUUGAAUAUAGAUAU